UACAGAGACUGCAAGCGUUAUUCGGAUUCACUGGGCGUAAAGGGUGCGCAGGCGGUUGGGUGUGUCAGAUGUGAAAUCCCGAGGCUCAACCUCGGAACUGCGUCUGAAACUACUCGACUAGAGUACUGGAGAGGGUAACGGAAUUCACGGUGUAGCAGUGAAAUGCGUAGAUAUCGUGAGGAACACCAGAGGCGAAGGCGGUUACCUGGACAGUUACUGACGCUCAGGCACGAAAGCAUGGGGAGCAAACGGG
rnacentral:rRNA from 1 species